UACGUAGGUGGCGAGCGUUGUCCGGAAUUACUGGGUGUAAAGCGCGUGUAGGCGGGAGGCCAAGUCUGUGGUGAAAUCGCUCGGCUUAACUGGGCGGGGUCCAUGGAAACUGGUCACCUGGAGGUCGGUAGAGGCAAGUGGAAUUCCCGGUGUAGUGGUGAAAUGCGCAGAUAUCGGGAGGAACACCAAUGGCGAAGGCAGCUCGCUGGGACGGUACUGACGCUGAGACGGCGAAAAGCGUGGGGAGCAAACAGGG
rnacentral:rRNA from 1 species